GGGGAUGUGCUGGAACUGGCAGACAGGCAUGACUUAGGAUCAUGUGCCGCAAGGCAUGCGGGUUCGAUUCCCGCCAUCCCCA
rnacentral:tRNA from 1 species